rnacentral:rRNA from 1 species
AUUGAACGCUGGCGGCAUGCCUUACACAUGCAAGUCGAACGGUAACAGGUCUUCGGAUGCUGACGAGUGGCGAACGGGUGAGUAAUACAUCGGAACGUGCCUAGUAGUGGGGGAUAACUACUCGAAAGAGUGGCUAAUACCGCAUGAGAUCUAUGGAUGAAAGCAGGGGAUCGCAAGACCUUGUGCUACUAGAGCGGCCGAUGGCAGAUUAGGUAGUUGGUGGGAUAAAAGCUUACCAAGCCGACGAUCUGUAGCUGGUCUGAGAGGACGAUCCGCCACACUGGGACUGAGACACGGCCCAGACUCCUACGGGAGGCAGCAGUGGGGAAUUUUGGACAAUGGGCGCAAGCCUGAUCCAGCAAUGCCGCGUGCAGGAUGAAGGCCUUCGGGUUGUAAACUGCUUUUGUACGGAACGAAAAGCCCUGGGUUAAUACCCUGGGGUCAUGACGGUACCGUAAGAAUAAGCACCGGCUAACUACGUGCCAGCCGCCGCCGUAAUAC